GUUAGGAAUAUUGGACAAUGGGCGCAAGCCUGAUCCAGCCAUGCCGCGUGAACGAUGAAGGCCUUCGGGUUGUAAAGUUCUUUAGCCGAUGAUUAUAAUGACUGUAGUCGGAAAAUAAGCCCCGGCUAACUUCGUGCCAGCAGCCGCGGUAAUACGAAGGGGGCGAGCGUUAUUCGGAAUCACUGGGCGUAAAGCGUGCGUAGGCGGUCUCGUAAGUUAGGAGUGAAAGCCCAGGGCUCAACCCUGGAAUUGCUCUCAAAACUGCAAGGCUCGAAUUCGGGAGAGGAUAGCGGAAUUGUCAGUGUAGCAGUGAAAUGCGUAGAUAUUGACAGGAACACCAGUGGCGUAAGCAGCUAUCUGGACCGAUAUUGACGCUGAGGCACGAAAGCGUGGGGAUCAAACAGGAUUAGAUACCCGAGUAGUCC
rnacentral:rRNA from 1 species